rnacentral:rRNA from 1 species
AUUGAACGCUAGCGGGAUGCUUUACACAUGCAAGUCGAACGAGUGGCGGACGGGUGAGUAAUAUAUCGGAACGUGCCCAGUAGCGGGGGAUAACUACUCGAAAGAGUGGCUAAUACCGCAUACUAUUGGAGCGGCCGAUAGCGGAUUAGGUAGUUGGUGGGGUAAAGGCUCACCAAGGCAACGAUCCGUAGCUGGUUUGAGAGGACGACCCCCACCCCUGGGACUGAGACACGGCCCACACUCCUCCUUCCUUCCCCCUUUUUUCCUUUUUUACCCUUCUUGAAACCCUGAUCCAGCCAUCCCGCGUGUAUGAUACUUCCUUCCGCUUAUCACGUACUUUUGGCAGAGAAGCGGCAUCUGCAGAAUAAGCACCGGCUAACUACGUGCCAUCAGCCGCGGUAAUAC